rnacentral:rRNA from 1 species
UACAGAGGGGGCAAGCGUUGUUCGGAAUUACUGGGCGUAAAGGGCUCGUAGGCGGCCAACUAAGUCAGACGUGAAAUCCCUCGGCUUAACCGGGGAACUGCGUCUGAUACUGGAUGGCUUGAGUUUGGGAGAGGGAUGCGGAAUUCCAGGUGUAGCGGUGAAAUGCGUAGAUAUCUGGAGGAACACCGGUGGCGAAGGCGGCAUCCUGGACCAACACUGACGCUGAGUGAGCGAAAGCGUGGGGAGCAAACAGG